UACGGAGGUGGCAAGCGUUAUCCGGAUUCAUUGGGGGUAAAGGGAGCGCAGGCGGUUUCAUAAGUCUGAGGUGAAAGCCUGCGGCUUAACCGUGGAAUGUCAUUUGAUACUGGGAAACUUGAAUACAGAAGAGGAAAGGGGAACUUGAUGUGUAGCGGUGGAAUGCGUAGAUAUAUGGAAGAACACCAGUUGCGAAGGCGACAUUCUGGGGU
rnacentral:rRNA from 1 species